GCGUUGGUGGUCUAAUGGUUAGGAUUAUUGCCUUCCAUGUCACGUGAGCGAGCAAUAGGUUCGGGUUCAAUUCCCGGCCAACGCA